ACGCGGAGGUUGUAAUUGGUCUCUAGACCACACCUAGUUGUUGAGUGCCGCUGCUUGAAAAUCUCAGUUCUGCCGAGAUCGCAGAAUACACACAAGCUACCUUUGGGCACCAGAGCAGACAGAACCGCGGAGCUUCAGGGUGGAAGAUUCGUGGAAACUUUGCCAAGGCCAGGACCUCGUGUGUUCCCGUCCGCCCCUCUGGGACGGCGCCAGCCCGGCAGGCCGCCGACCGUCCUGGGGCUCCCGCGCAGCGCGAUGCCGGCCUCGUCCACCGUCCACGUGCUGCAGCUGCUGCGGGAGCUGCUCGCCUUCGUGCUCCUCAGCUACACGGUGCUCAUCGGGGCGCUGCUGCUGGCCGGCUGGACCACUUACUUCCUGGUGCUGAAGUGACAGCGCCGUCGCCGCGCCCGGCCCCGCCUCCCGCCCGGCCCCGCCUCCCGCCCGGCCCCGCCUCCCUAACUCACCAGGAAAUUCCCUUCAAGCCCUGGCCCGAACUGAGUCCCCGCCCACCCGCCAGCGUCACGGCGCCCGACUCAGCUCCGCGCCGGACCCACCUCCGCGCCCUCAGGCCCUGCAUAUGCCCCGCCCCGCGCGGAAGUUCCGGCGGUUGGUUGCCUUGCGCGGCCGUUACAGCCUUUGCCCUAAGCCUCGCCCCCUUUCCCCCUGCCUGCCCAAUCCCGACUGCUUCCUUGGGUGGGGGCGUGGCUAUGGGGCGAGGCGCUCUCAGGUGGAGGCCGUGCCCCGCUCCGCGCUCACGAAGCUGCGUCACUUCCGGCGUGUGCGUCUGGCGUCCGCGCGCUGCACAAUGGCGGCUCUGAAGAGUUGGCUGUCGCGCAGCGUAACUUCAUUCUUCAGGUUCCUGCUUGGCUCGAGUUUGAGUUUACAGCCCCUGCAAGUAAAUCCAAGAGCCUGUUACAGAUUGGCGGUCGUGCCUUAUGAAAUCUGACUUCUACUUCCAGAAAUCAGAGCCUCAUUCCCUUAGUAGUGAAGCAUUGAUGAGGAGAGCAGUGUCUUUGGUAACAGAUAGCACCUCUACCUUUCUCUCUCAGACCACAUAUGCGUUGAUUGAAGCUAUUACUGAAUAUACUAAGGCUGUUUAUACCUUAACUUCUCUUUACCGACAAUAUACAAGUUUACUUGGGAAAAUGAAUUCAGAGGAGGAAGAUGAAGUGUGGCAGGUGAUCAUAGGAGCCAGAGCUGAGAUGACUUCAAAACACCAAGAGUACUUGAAGCUGGAAACCACUUGGAUGACUGCAGUUGGUCUUUCAGAGAUGGCAGCAGAAGCUGCAUAUCAAACUGGCGCAGAUCAGGCCUCUAUAACCGCCAGGAAUCACAUUCAGCUGGUGAAACUGCAGGUGGAAGAGGUGCACCAGCUCUCCCGGAAAGCAGAAACCAAGCUGGCAGAAGCACAGAUAGAAGAGCUCCGUCAGAAAACACAGGAGGAAGGGGAGGAGCGGGCUGAGUCGGAGCAGGAGGCCUACCUGCGUGAGGAUUGAGGGCCUGAGCACACUGCCCUGUCUCCCCACUCAGUGGGGAAAGCAGGGGCAGAUGCCACCCUGCCCAGGGUUGGCAUGACUGUCUGUGCACCGAGAAGAGGCGGCAGAUCCUGCCCUGGCCAAUCAGGCGAGACGCCUUUGUGAGCUGUGAGUGCCUCCUGUGGUCUCAGGCUUGCGCUGGACCUGGUUCUUAGCCCUUGGGCACUGCACCCUGUUUAACAUUUCACCCCACUCUGUACAGCUGCUCUUACCCAUUUUUUUUACCUCACACCCAAAGCAUUUUGCCUACCUGGGUCAGAGAGAGGAGUCCUUUUUGUCAUGCCCUUAAGUUCAGCAACUGUUUAACCUGUUUUCAGUCUUAUUUACGUCGUCAAAAAUGAUUUAGUACUUGUUCCCUCUGUUGGGAUGCCAGUUGUGGCAGGGGGAGGGGAACCUGUCCAGUUUGUACGAUUUCUUUGUAUGUAUUUCUGAUGUGUUCUCUGAUCUGCCCCCACUGUCCUGUGAGGACAGCUGAGGCCAAGGAGUGAAAAACCUAUUACUACUAAGAGAAGGGGUGCAGAGUGUUUACCUGGUGCUCUCAACAGGACUUAACAUCAACAGGACUUAACACAGGCCUCUUGUUCCUUCCUUUCUUUCCGUUUCUCUAUUGUAUCCAAAGGAGAAGAGUGUAAGAUUUUGUUUGCAUCUGAAAGAGAAAAUGCGUCUCUCCUGGGGUCCUA
rnacentral:lncRNA from 1 species